CAGCUCUAAGUGGGUGGUAAAUUCCAUCUAAAGCUAAAUAUUGGCGAGAGACCGAUAGCGAACAAGUACAGUGAUGGAAAGAUGAAAAGAACUUUGAAAAGAGAGUGAAAAAGUACGUGAAAUUGUUGAAAGGGAAGGAUAUGAGAUCAGACUUGGUGUUUUGCAACCUUAUCUUCGGAUGGGGCCCCUGCAGUUCAUCGGGCCAGCAUCAGUUUGGAUGGUAGGAUAAUGACAUUGGAAUGUGACUUGGCUUCGGUUAAGUGUUAUAGCCCUUGUUGAUACUGCCUGUCUAGACUGAGGACUGCGUCUUUGACUAGGAUGCUGGCAUAAUGAUCCUAUAUCGC
rnacentral:rRNA from 1 species